GGAAAAGAAACCAACAGGGAUUGCCCCAGUAACGGCGAGUGAAGCGGCAACAGCUCAAAUUUGAAAUCUGGCUCCUUCGGGGUCCGAGUUGUAAUUUGCAGAGGGUGCUUUGGCGUCGGCCGUGGUCUAAGUUCCUUGGAACAGGACGUCACAGAGGGUGAGAAUCCCGUACGUGGCCGCCGGCCUUCGCCGUGUAAAGCCCCUUCGACGAGUCGAGUUGUUUGGGAAUGCAGCUCUAAAUGGGAGAUAAAUUUCUUCUAAAGCUAAAUAUUGGCCAGAGACCGAUAGCGCACAAGUAGAGUGAUCGAAAGAUGAAAAGCACUUUGGAAAGAGAGUCAAAAAGCACGUGAAAUUGUUGAAAGGGAAGCGCUUGCAGCCAGACGUGCCCGCAGUUGCUCACCCGGGCUCUCGCCCGGGGCACUCUUCUGCGGGCAGGCCAGCAUCAGUUCGGGCGGUUGGAUAAAGGCCUCUGUCACGUACCCCCUCUCGGGGGCGGCCUUAUAGGGGAGGCGCAACACGACCAGCCCGAACUGAGGACCGCGCAUUAUGCUAGGAUGCUGGCGUAAUGGCUGUAAGCGGCCCGUCUUGAAACACGGACCAAGGAGUCUAACAUCUAUGCGAGUGUUUGGGUGUCAAGCCCGGGCGCGCAAUGAAAGUGAACGGAGGUGGGAACCCCUCGGGGCGCACCAUCGACCGAUCCUGAAGUCUUCGGAUGGAUUUGAGUAAGAGCAUAGCUGUUGGGACCCGAAAGAUGGUGAACUAUGCCUGAAUAGGGUGAAGCCAGGGGAAACCCUGGUGGAGGCUCGCAGCGGUUCUGACGUGCAAAUCGAUCGUCAAAUUUGGGCAUAGGGGCGAAAG
rnacentral:rRNA from 1 species